UGACUACUCCCUCCGUCCCAAAAUUCUUGACUUAGAUUUGUUUACAUAUGGCUGUAUCUAGUCACAUUUUACUAUUGGAUACAUCCGUAUCCUGACAAAUCAAAGACACGAAUUUUGGGACUGAGGUAAUAUAUA
rfam:Hordeum vulgare subsp. vulgare, WGS project CAJW01000000 data, contig: morex_contig_1568847